rnacentral:rRNA from 1 species
UAAUUCGAGUGGCGACGGGUGAGUAACGCGUGAACAAUCUGUCCCAGACAGGGGGAUAACACUUGGAAACAGGUGCUAAUACCGCAUAAGACCACAGAAUCGCAUGGGUACAGGGGUAAAAGGAGCAAUCCGGUUUGGGGUGAGUUCGCGUCCGAUUAGCCAGUUGGGGGGUAACGGCCCACCAAAGCGACGAUCGGUAGCCGACCUGAGAGGGUGAUCGGCCACAUUGGAACUGAGAGACGGUCCAAACUCCUACGGGAGGCAGCAGUGGGGAAUAUUGGGCAAUGGGCGAAAGACCCUGACCCAGCAACGCCGCGUGAGUGAAGAAGGCCUUCGGGUUGUAAAGCUCUGUUAUAGGGGACGAAGGAAGUGACGGUACCCUAUAAGGAAGCCCCGGCUAACUACGUGCCAGCCGCAGC